GUGCUCGCUUUGGCAGCACACAGACUAAAAUCGGAAGGAUACAGAGAAGGUUAGCAUGGCCCUGCACAAGGAUGACACGCAAAUUCGAGAAUUGUUCCAUUUUUUG
rnacentral:snRNA from 1 species